UACGAAGGGGGCUAGCGUUGCUCGGAAUUACUGGGCGUAAAGCGCACGUAGGCGGCUUUCUAAGUCGGGGGUGAAAUCCUGGAGCUCAACUCCAGAACUGCCUUCGAUACUGGAGAGCUCGAGUCCGGGAGAGGUGAGUGGAACUGCGAGUGUAGAGGCGAAAUUCGUAGAUAUUCGCAAGAACACCAGUGGCGAAGGCGGCUCACUGGCCCGGUACUGACGCUGAGGUGCGAAAGCGUGGGGAGCAAACAGG
rnacentral:rRNA from 1 species